rnacentral:rRNA from 1 species
AGCGAACGCUGGCGGCAUGCUUAACACAUGCAAGUCGAACGGCAGCACAGUAAGAGCUUGCUCUUACGGGAGGCGAGUGGCGGACGGGUGAGGAAUACACCGGAACUUACUUUUUCGUGGGGGAUAACGUAUGGAAACUUAAGUUAAUACCGCAUAUUCCCUACGGGUGAAAGCAGGGGAUUUUCGGACCUUGUGCGAUUGCAUGAGCCGAUGUCGGAUUUGCUAGUUGGCGGGGUAAAGGCCCACCAAGGCGACGAUCCGGAGCCGGUGUGAGCGGAUGGUCGGCCGCACUGGAACGUGGCCACCGUCCCGGCUCCUGCGGGAGGCAGCAGUGGGGAAUGUUGGACAGUGGGGGCAAGCCUUAUACAGCGGUCCCGAGUCGGUUGCGAAGGCCUUGGGUUUGUGAAGACCUUCUGUGGGGAAAAAAAAGCAUCAGAUUAAGACGACGCUGUUGUGACGGUACCCAUAGAAGAAGCACCGGCUAACUUCGUG